rnacentral:rRNA from 1 species
GAUGAACGCUGGCGGCGUGCCUAAUACAUGCAAGUCGAGCGAACAGAUAAGGAGCUUGCUCCUUUGACGUUAGCGGCGGACGGGUGAGUAACACGUGGGUAACCUACCUAUAAGACUGGAAUAACUCCGGGAAACCGGGGCUAAUGCCGGAUAACAUUUAGAACCGCAUGGUUCUAAAGUGAAAGAUGGUUUUGCUAUCACUUAUAGAUGGACCCGCGCCGUAUUAGCUAGUUGGUAAGGUAACGGCUUACCAAGGCAACGAUACGUAGCCGACCUGAGAGGGUGAUCGGCCACACUGGAACUGAGACACGGUCCAGACUCCUACGGGAGGCAGCAGUAGGGAAUCUUCGCAAUGGGCGAAAGCCUGACGGAGCAACGCCGCGUGAGUGAUGAAGGUCUUCGGAUCGUAAAACUCUGUUAUUAGGGAAGAACAAAUGUGUAAGUAACUGUGCACGUCUUGACGGUACCUAAUCGGAAAGCCACGGCUAACUACGUG